GACGAACGCUGGCGGCGUGCUUAACACAUGCAAGUCGAACGGAAAGGCCCUGCUUUUGUGGGGUGCUCGAGUGGCGAACGGGUGAGUAACACGUGAGUAACCUGCCCUUGACUUUGGGAUAACUUCAGGAAACUGGGGCUAAUACCGGAUAGGAGCUCCUGCUGCAUGGUGGGGGUUGGAAAGUUUCGGCGGUUGGGGAUGGACUCGCGGCUUAUCAGCUUGUUGGUGGGGUAGUGGCUUACCAAGGCUUUGACGGGUAGCCGGCCUGAGAGGGUGACCGGCCCCAUGGGGCUGGGGUUACGGCCCGGACCCCUCCGGAGGCAGCAGUGGGGAAUAUUGCACAAUGGGCGGAAGCCUGAUGCAGCAACGCCGCGUGCGGGAUGACGGCCUUCGGGUUGUAAACCGCUUUCGCCUGUGACGAAGCGUGAGUGACGGUAAUGGGUAAAGAAGCACCGGCUAACUACGUG
rnacentral:rRNA from 1 species